UUCAGCGUCCCUGCUGUUUAAAACAUGUAUCCCUGUUUCCCACUGAAGCUCAGCAGGGAUGAGGCUGGCCAGUAUGUGGAUGGGAGACCUCCUGGGGAAAGCCCAGGUAGCUGCUGGAG
rnacentral:rRNA from 1 species